GCUUUGCCCUGGCCUCACCUCAGCUCGGUGGGUGGGGACGGGCGAGCCCCUCGCCUCCUGCUCCUCCCCAGCAGCCGCGAUGGUCACUAACGGGCCGGGGGUGCGGUGCGGCUCCCCUCACCCAGCGCCGGGUCCCCGCCUCCUGCUCUCGCCCCGUCCCCGCCUCCUGCUGCCCGAGCCGCGCUCGCUGGGCUCUGAGGGAGCCGGGAGCCGCCGCCGCUAGGGGAGGAGGGAGCGCGCCUGCGCCACCGCCCGGGCGGCGAGACGGGAGGAGGCAGCGGGGCCGCCGGCGGCUCCAGUGCCCGGGGAGGGGGAGUCCGGUCCCGGCCCGGCUACCUGAGAGCGGCGCGGGGCUCGGGCGGCCUCAGUGCGCAGGUGCGCCAAGAGCAGCAGAAGUGACCAUGGAAGAGGCAGCGGGAGGGAGAAUCCAGAGCCCACUUGCCAGGAGUCAGUACAGGAGGAAAUGGGAGAGCUUGGAGGCAGAUGCCAUCCUAGAGAAAAAUCUUGAGAGCAAGUCUUUCAGCCACAAGAAACCAAUCGACUGUUCCUAACUCCAACUGCCAUGGAACUGUCCAGUACCAAAUUCUGUUCCUUGCAUUAAAGAAGCAUCAUCCCACUCUUCAUGCUGUUUGAUUACCCGAGGUUUGUUUGAGAGCCCUACCAGUUUUUCCCUGCAUGCCAUGGAGCUCCUCUUGCAACACCCAACUCUAGGGUUAAUGUAAAGAUUGUACCAGAUAAAACUGUGACUCCAGGAGGGAAAUGGACCUUUUUCCUAUGUUUUCUGAUUGGAGCUCUGGAUUUAGUUUAGAGUCAGCCAGGGGAGACCAUAGAAAAUAGAGGUCUUCAUCCAGAGAUACUAAAAUUAAUGUCUGCAAACGGUACUGCUGGCAAGGUCCUCCAGGGAAAGAGGGACUGCCUGAUUUGUCCAUUCUUAGAAGCAUUUGGGUACCUUCUCCAGCCAACUGUAAGGCAACAUCUUGGGCCUGAUUCUCCACUGCCUUGCACGCUGUGUCAUUAUUGACACCUGUGCACAGGAAAUGUAAAUUAUUAUUAGCAGUGUAAGAAUGUGAAGAAUGCUAAUUUGUUAGUAUUUUACACCCACUUUGCAUAAGUGUAAAUAAAAAGGAGAUCUGGGGAGCGGGAGGUGUCACAUGGUACUCAUGAAGAAGAUGGCUGCUUAGUCCUGGACCUCCUCACUCCCUACAUAUCAAUCCAUCAAUCCAUCUCUAAUAAUUACAUUCCUAACAAAUUAUCAAGUAAGUUUCUGUCAUAAAAGCUUAAAUUAAUCCCCUGGAUAAACUUCAAACUCUUGACUAUGGAUUCUAAUGAAAACAUGAGAGGCAACAAAAGACCUAUGCCUGAAUCACCUAAGCAGCUGAAGGGGGAGACUGCAAGGCCGCAGCAGAAUCUAGGCCAGGAUAUCGCAGCACUAAAAGAAUUCCUCACAGUCUGACUGGAUUCAAUCUCAAAAGAUAUUUGUGGUCUCUGUAAAGAUAUAUGUGAUGUAAAAUCCCAAAUGGCUCUCUUGAAAAAAGAGCUACAAAAGUUUGUCAUUGAAACCAGGAAAAUGAAUGAAGAAGCUUCCGCGUUAACAGGAAGACUUAGAAAACAGAUCUCAAAGAAACAACCUCGCCUUUUGGGCACUGCUGAGGGUCUAGAGGGGAAGGAUAUUAUAAGCUUUCUUCAGAAACUGCUACCCGACAUAAAUUGGACCCCCAAGUUGUGCCUAUUAGAUAUUGAAAGGGCUCAUCAAAUGACUGGUACUGGAGGGCAGGAGUCUGGCAAGCCCACACCCUAUCAUCUUCAAGCUGCUGAAAUUUAUGGAUAAAGCAAUGUUAAUGAAUGCUGCCAGAAGGCUGAAACCCUUCUGUUUAAAGGCCACCAUUUUUUUUCCUGACUUCCCAGCUGUUCUAAACAAAAAGAUGGCUGCAUUCAAUGGCAUAAAGUAAAUCCUGAAGGGGACCAAUGUCAGAUACAGCAUCAAGUACCCACCCACCUUCACUAUGGAUUUAGUAGGCUUCACAAGAUUUUGCAAAAACCCCUCUGAAGCUUGGCAGAAACUUUCAAAUACUGACACCAGAUUUGACCAAAAAUAGCAAAAUGUUUUUUUCAUCAUGAAAAGCAUACCUCAACAAGUUUAAAAAUCACUUUGUUUUCAUGUGUAUCCUUGUAGAUAUGGUAAUAUUAA